CUCACUAUGUUACCCAGGCUGGUCUUGAACUCCUAGGCUCAAGUGAUCUUCCCACUUUGGGCUCCCAAAGUGCUGGGAUGAUAGCCAUGAGCCACCAUGCCCGGGCAGGAAAAUUAUUUAUAGGAUGCUGGGAACACCCUCACUUAAACAUGGCCCCCAAGGUGGUGGUGGGGUGCUCUCCUGGCAUAUGAGCCUUCUCUCACAGUGGACACGCCUUGUUAACAGGCCAUGAUGAAGACUCCCCUAGAGGAACCACGCUGUUCAACCCCCUCUUCCUGAGAGCAUCUGGGAUCUGCAUACUAGAAAAAUCGGGUUCUGAUGAGCAAGUGAGGAUGCUGAGGUCGAUGAAGAUGUGGCCAUCCAGGCCUUCAGGAAAUUUUGAAAGGCCCCUACCCUACAUUGGCUCAUCUUCCCAGAAACAUCCUAGGGUCCCUCGAAAAGCAGUGUAUGCCAGGCAGAAGGGUGCUGAAGUUGAAAUCAAGUCCUCUGUUGGAGUCACCAUCCCACAGGUGACCAAUAGCAGAACCUUGAGAACGUCCAUUCUGCUCUUGAUCAGUGUUGGCAAUGUCGUACUUCGUAGGUGGUAAGAAUUAACAUCCACCUGGUGGAAGCGAAUCUAUUAAUAAAAGUAAGGAACAUGCUCCCAA